CCUACGGGGGGCAGCAGUGAGGAAUAUUGGUCAAUGGCCGGAAGGCUGAACCAGCCAUGCCGCGUGAAGGUCAGUGCCCUAUGGGCGUUAAACUUCUUUUGUGCGGGAGCAAUAAUGGUCACGUGUGGCCAGACGAGAGUACCGUACGAAUAAGCAUCGGCUAACUCCGUGCCAGCAGCCGCGGUAAUACGGGGGAUGCAAGCGUUAUCCGGAUUUAUUGGGUUUAAAGGGUGCGUAGGCUGUGAGGUAAGUCAGCGGUGAAAUGCCCACGCUCAACGGGGUGAAGUGCCAUUGAUACUGCCUGGCUGGAAUGCGGAUGCCGUGGGAGGAAUGUGUGGUGUAGCGGUGAAAUGCAUAGAUAUCACACAGAACACCGAUUGCGAAGGCAUCUCACGAAUCCGCGAUUGACGCUGAUGCACGAAAGCGUGGGUAUCAAACAGGAUUAGAUACCCUGGUAGUC
rnacentral:rRNA from 1 species